ACGUCGUGUCUUCUGCAGAUCAGAGACGAGCCCCCACCACUGCCAAGAGGUUCUCGUCUUGUAUGUUUGUAUUGUCGUUGAUUCCACCCCCUGAGUACCCCCUUAAUCGGGCCCCUGCCUCUCUAUUUGGCUGCCGGGAGUUUUAAAAGCCAGCAGCCUGUGUGUCCGUGAAUGCGUCAUGUUGUCGCACACUGUCAAGUUAACGAUCGAGGUGAUGUGUGUUUUUUUUUUUUUAAAUCUAGGUAGGAGGUAAAGUACAAAUCGGCUACAUUAAAACGCAAAGAGCGAGAGAGUAAGAAAAGCGGACCAUCAAGCUAACGUUAUUGCUAGCACUACUAGCCUGACAGCGGCUAACGGCCAGACUAUCCAACCUCACUUUGCUGUGUGUUGAGCGGGACAUAAACAUCGACAAAGACAAAGUGGCACCAUGAAGGAGAGGAGGAUGAAGAUUUAAAAAGGGACCGUGAUAUGUACAAAGUUGGUUAACCUGUUGGGAUUAUUUUGUUCUAUGGAGGAUGCUGGAAGACACAAAUGGACUAAUUUACACUAAACUACAGCAGGCUGAGCAGGGACAACACUUGCAAAUAAUGCAGCAAUCAGCCUGCAGGUGUUUUGAAUGUCCACCAGCGGCUGGAUGCACCCAGGACUAAACUUUCUCUCCACAGCUUGUUCAAUCUCAGCUCUUGGUGUAAACAUUUGCAUUAUUACAGUAAGUGCAUUAAUGAGUCUGCUGUCUUUGAGUUUUUCAUCUUGUAUUAUUGCAGAAGAGAUUACAGCCCCUGAACAUGUUCCUGUUCAUAUCGACUGUCAGUGUUUCAACCAGCAUCAUUGUUUCAUCAUUGCAUAAGUUGUUUCAGGUUUUUUAUGUAAAAAUGCAAAACAUUUAGCAGUAGUAGUGCUGAUAAUAUAAAACUUAUAAGACUGCUCUGUGAUAGCUGAUGUUUUUUUCUGUGGUGCUUUCAGGUGUUGUAGUAACUUGUGUCUUCUGAGUUUUGACACUCAGCUGAAGAACAGCAGCCUUUUUAUUUGAUGAAGCGACCAAAUUAGUAUUUUCCUUUUUAACUUUUAAACUCUAAAGGUAGUUAAAGGUAACUUUAACUUUUGACUGUUCUGAAAAGAUGCAAACCUGAAUGCCUUAAUGUCCAUUUUAUCACACUAGCACAUGAACGCACCACAGGAAUGACUCUCUAGUACACACUUUUAGUUCAGUCUUUCUUCAGCUGUACACAGUGUCAUUGAAAAGGCACCUUCAUAAUGUAAACACAGUUUUUAUUUUCAUUUUCAGCAUCUUUUAACAGCAUUAAAACAUAUUCCCAUCGUUACUUCCUACAGUUCAGUGCUAUUUGAUUUUUAAAGCAAAGAUUUAACAUUGGUGACUGUUAGUUAUUGAAGAAUUCAUUCUUUAUCGUACAAAAUAAACACAUUAGAUUUAUUGUCCACCACAUUCAUUUCAUAUGUACAGAGUCUUCAUACAGGCAUACUGUUGAGACUUGUUGACUGUUGAGUCACCUGUGCAGGUACAUCUCUGACUACAUGUACACAAGGAAGCAGAAGGAGUUUACAUGCAGCAGAUCAGGCCCUUCGUCUAUGAACAAACAGGCAGACACAUUAGUGGAGAUAUUUGGAGGCGUUGAAGGUCAUCGAGAUGAAGUCCUGAGUGCUGUUUUUGAUCUCUUGGGUGAAUAAAUGAUGUCAUGUGUGAUGGACCACUCCUUAAAACUUUGGCGGAUUAAUUCAGAGAGAAUGCAGAAAGCCGUUGGCGGAUCUUAUGAGUUCAACCCCUCCAAGACCAACAGAUUGCAGGAAGUUUGCUGGCAACUGGACCAUCUUACUGUUAGAACAGAUGGAAAGAAAAUUCAUACUAUCAACCUAAACAGAGACUUUAAAAAGCUGAAACACCACCCUCAAGGUAUACGGCUAAUUUGACUUCUCCACAGGAAAGCGUGUGAUCACCAGGGCGUAGAUGUGGGUCAGUGGUCUGUUGCGUCACAAUAAAAAGUUCCCCAGCUCAAUUAGCUCAGUGAUGAACUUUCCAGCUGGCUGAUUAAAAAUGCUCCUGCCGUCACCCUUUACCGAGGCGCUGUCCUGACUAUUGAAGCUGGUUCAUUGGAAGAGUUUGGGGCUCUUGGUAAUGUACUGAAACACCAUCUGUCAGCUAAAGCAAGCACACUCACAUUUCUCACAGAAAGUUACACCUUUUCUAGUUUAUUGUUAUUUUAUAUUAUAAUGUAUUCAUUCAUGUAUUUUUCCUGUGGAAAUGUAAAUGAUAAUUGAGUUUAAUAAUAUGUAAUUUAUCUUUAUCAAUAAUGUGACCUCAUGAAGCUUAUUUGGUUGGAGAAACAGUCUUUACUUUAUUGGAGGGAAUUUCUUCUCACUCGCUGCAACCCAGAGAGGUCAGAGGUCAGGCUAACAUCUAGAUCAGCACAGCUACAGCAAGUAGGAUUCAGUGUAUUUAUAUAUUAUUUAUAUAUUUAUAGAAACUUUAUUGACAUGUUGUUUUGAUCAGAUGAGGUCAGACUGUUUAAAAGAUUGGAUUAAAAUGUUAUUAGUAAAACA